GGGAGCUUGUUGCCACUAUCACUACCCACAUCUUCAUUUUCUUUGCCGGAAUUCAGGGAGAAAGAGGAUGGCCACCGUCACAACUCAAGCUUCUGCUGCCGUAUUCCGUCCAUGUGCAUCAAGAUCGAGGUUUCUCACUGGGUCUCCUGGUAAACUCAACAAAGAAGUGUCCUUUAAACCAAUGCCAUCUUCUUCUGCUGCUUCUUUCAAAGUUGAGGCCAAGAAAGGCGAGUGGUUGCCCGGUUUGCCCUCUCCAGCCUACCUCAACGGCAGUCUUCCGGGCGAUAAUGGCUUUGACCCCCUUGGACUCGCUGAGGACCCUGAGAACCUGAAAUGGUACAUCCAGGCUGAGCUCGUGAAUGGGCGUUGGGCUAUGUUGGGUGUUGUAGGGAUGCUAUUGCCAGAGGUUUUCACCAAGAUUGGAAUAAUCAAUGUUCCUCAAUGGUAUGAUGCUGGCAAAGCAGAGUACUUUGCAUCGUCAUCGACCCUCUUCGUAAUUGAGUUCAUAUUGUUCCAUUAUGUGGAGAUCAGAAGGUGGCAAGAUAUCAAGAACCCAGGAAGUGUCAACCAAGACCCAAUCUUCAAGCAAUACAGUUUGCCUCCAAAUGAAGUUGGUUACCCUGGCGGAAUUUUUAAUCCCCUCAACUUUGCACCCACUGUUGACGCCAAGGAGAAGGAGCUUGCAAAUGGGAGAUUGGCGAUGUUGGCGUUCUUAGGAUUUGUGGUUCAACACAAUGUCACUGGAAAAGGACCAUUUGAGAACCUGUUGCAGCACCUCUCAGACCCAUGGCACAACACAAUUGUCCAGACACUCAGGGGUUACUAAAAUUCAUUAAAGAAGAAACGGGGUCCUGUUUCUUGCUUUUGUAACCAUCAAUAGAUGGUUUCUGAGUGAGGUUUGAGCAUCAAUGUAAAACAAGGAACCUUCAGUGUACAGAGGAACUAAGGUGCCAUUUUAUUAUCAUUUUAUAUCACUUCAAUCCACUUAAUCACAAACCUCAUAGAAAACACCAGCUGCUCGGAAAUAACAAUCCUAUAGAACGAACUGAUUUAUAACAAUGAAAAUACGGAUCAAAUUGCUUUCAUUUUCUGCAAAAUUAUAGAUAUACAGCUUGUGUGACAGAAGCCUGUUGCCAGAAGCUCAUUCUUGCUAUAAGUAUGAUUAUAAAACGUAGAGUACAUAUAUACAGAUGACCUGGUAAAUAUGUACAUAUAUACAGCUAACAGCCUAACAAAUUGGAUGGCCCAGAACAUCCAGAUGGCUCUACAUUUCUGCGUUGAUUUGUCUUCCAUAUAACAAAAUCCUGUCCUAAAACCUCUCUGGCCAUAAACGGCUGGUCCAGAACACAUUACAGAACUACACCAUUAAUUCUUCCAACAAUCACUCCUCCCAUCAGGGAAAAAUAAUGUUCAACUCACAGAGUCAAUUUGGUUGCUGCAUGAAAUGAAGCAAACAGUAAGAAAGAUGAAGUCAUAGUAAGUUAUUACCUGAAAAAUGAGAAGUAGAAAUUAGCCAAAGAACAUGGAAAUGGCAAGAUGCGUUAAUGAUACACCAGUCCAAAACUUAAAUGAUGAACAGAUGAUGGCAUCAACCACCCUAAGGUUAUCCCGUUUAGUAAUGCAAAAGGAGGAAAAGGCUUAAAAGGGAAGGAACACCUAUAUGGUACAUUCCAUACUCAUGUAAAACCUAACUAAUGAAGUAAAAUGUGAGCACCAGAAACAGGAGAUCAUGCAUAACAAGUGAAACCUCUCAGGGUGCUUUUCCAAAAGAAAAAACUCAUCAGAAUAAACAGCUGAACUAAGUGAAAAAUGUAAACUAUAAACAGAAACAUUUCUUUGUAAUUGUGAUUGAACCAUGAAAUUGGCAUAACUUUUCUUGGUAUGAAAAUAAUUAUUUUCUUAUGCCCCAUCCCUUCUUGCUGAAAAGAUUUAGGAGGACUAAGCAUGUCAUUAAGCAUAAUUCUACGCAUGUGACAUUAAAUACAUCUUCACCGGAAUUUGGAUCCUUUGGCA
rnacentral:misc_RNA from 1 species